CUGGGUCAUGUGAUGAUUAUAAGCAUAGUUCAACUGAAUGUACUGUGAUUAUACAUCUUUUAGUCUUUCGCUCCUAUCUGAUGAUCCAU